rnacentral:rRNA from 1 species
UACGUAGGGGGCAAGCGUUGUCCGGAUUUAUUGGGCGUAAAGAGCGUGUAGGCGGCCAAGCAGGUCCGCUGUGAAAACUCGAGGCUCAACCUCGAGACGUCGGUGGAAACCGUUUGGCUAGAGUCCGGAAGAGGAGAGUGGAAUUCCCGGUGUAGCGGUGAAAUGCGCAGAUAUCGGGAAGAACACCCGUGGCGAAGGCGGCUCUCUGGGACGGUACUGGACGGCAUGGAGACGGCGAAAAGCGUGGGGGAGCCGAACAGGG